rnacentral:rRNA from 1 species
AGCAGCCGCGGUAAUUCCAGCUCCAAUAGCGUAUAUUAAAGUUGUUGCAGUUAAAAAGCUCGUAGUUGAAUUUCGGGAUCAAUUUGUUGGUCGUGCCUCGGUACGUACUGGCAUUAUUGGUUUCUACCUUCUGAAGAACCUUGAUGUCAUUAAUUUGGUGUUGCAGGAAAUCAGGACUGUUACCUUGAAAAAAU